AUACUACUCCCUCCGUUCCGAAUUACUUGUCGCAGGUAUGGAUGUAUCUAGAUGUAUUUUAGUUCCAGAUACAUUCAUUUCUACGACGAGUAAUUUGGAACGGAGGAAGUAGGAA
rnacentral:pre_miRNA from 1 species